UACCAGCUCUCCGAGUUGUAGGGAUGAUUAUUGGGCUUAAAGCGUCCGUAGCUGGCUUAGCAAGUCUCCUGUUAAAUUCAGCGACCUAAUCGUUGAGCCGCGGGAGAUACUACUAGGCUAGGAGGCGGGAGAGGUCGACGGUACUUUCGGGGUUGGGGUGAAAUCCUAUAAUCCCGGGAGGACCACCAGUGGCGAAGGCUGUCGACUAGAACGCGCUCGACGGUGAGGGACGAAAGCUGGGGGAGCGAACCGGAUUAGAUACCCGGGUAGUCCCAGCUGUAAACUAUGAGGGCUAGGUGUUGGGGUGGCUACGGGCCACUUCAGUGCCGCAGGAAAGCCAUUAAGCCCGCCGCCUGGGGAGUACGGCCGCAAGGCUGAAACUUAAAGGAAUUGGCGGGGGAGCACCACAAGGCGUGAAGCUUGCGGUUC
rnacentral:rRNA from 1 species